rnacentral:rRNA from 1 species
AUGCAGUCGAGCGGUAGCACGAGAGAGCUUGCUCUCUGGGUGACGAGCGGCGGAUGGGUGAGUAAUGUCUGGGAAACUGCCUGAUGGAGGGGGAUAACUACUGGAAACGGUAGCUAAUACCGCAUAACGCCUACGGACCAAAGUGGGGGACCUUCGGGCCUCACGCCAUCAGAUGUGCCCAGAUGGGAUUAGCUAGUAGGUGGGGUAAUGGCUCACCUAGGCGACGAUCCCUAGCUGGUCUGAGAGGAUGACCAGCCACACUGGAACUGAGACACGGUCCAGACUCCUACGGGAGGCAGCAGUGGGGAAUAUUGCACAAUGGGCGCAAGCCUGAUGCAGCCAUGCCGCGUGCGUGAAGAAGGCCUUAGGGUUGUAAAGCACUUUCAGCGAGGAGGAAGGGUUCAGUGUUAAUAGCACUGUUCAUUGACGUUACUCGCAGAAGAAGCACCGGCUAACUCCGUGCCAGCAGCCGCGGUAAUACGGAGGGUGCAAGCGUUAAUCGGAAUUACUGGGCGUAAAGCGCACGCAGGCGGUUUGUUAAGUCAGAUGUGAAAUCCCCGCGCUUAACGUGGGAACUGCAUUUGAAACUGGCAAGCUAGAGUCUUGU